rnacentral:rRNA from 1 species
AGCGAAACCGCGAAUGGCUCAUUAAAUCAGUUAUGGUUUACCCGACAGUGCCAGUACAUGGACAACUGUGGUAAUUCUAGAGCUAAUACAUGCAGAAAGCUCCGAGCCCGUUCGCGCGGGCGACGAGCGCAGUUAUUAGAUCAAAAACCAAUCGGCCGGCGGCUCGCGCCGUCGGCCGCCCGGUUUGGUGACUCUGAGUAACCACAGCGAAUCGCACGGUCUCGCACCGGCGGUCUGUCGGUCAAGCAACUGCCUUAUCAGCUUGUCGUUAGGUUAUACGCCUAACGAGGCGUCGACGGGUAACGAACGAUCGGGGUCUGACAUCGGAGAGGGAGCCUGAGAAACGGCUGCCACAUCCAAGGAAGGCAGCAGGCGCGCAAAUUACCCACUCCCGGCACGGGGAGGUAGUGACGAGAAAUAACGAUGCGAGGCUCCAUCGAGCCUUCGUAAUCGGAAUGAGUACACUUUAAAUCCUUUAACGAGUAACUAUUGGAGGGCAAGUCUGGUGCCAGCAGCCGCGGUAAUUCCAGCUCCAAUAGCGCAUAUUAAUGCUGCUGCGGUUAAAAAGCUCGUAGUUGGAUCUGGGUCGCCGGCGGGCGCUCCGCGUCUCAUUGUGGACGCGGUCUUGCGCUGAAGGCGUCGUGUGCGCCCGCGCUCUGCGUUGCGCGGGCGCGGCGUGGUCGACGCGG